GAUGAACGCUGGCGGCGUGCCUAAUACAUGCAAGUCGAGCGAACAGAUAAGGAGCUUGCUCCUUUGACGUUAGCGGCGGACGGGUGAGUAACACGUGGAUAACCUACCUAUAAGACUGGGAUAACUUCGGGAAACCGGAGCUAAUACCGGAUAACAUAUUGAACCGCAUGGUUCAAUAGUGAAAGGCGGCUUUGCUGUCACUUAUAGAUGGAUCCGCGCCGUAUUAGCUAGUUGGUAAGGUAACGGCUUACCAAGGCAACGAUACGUAGCCGACCUGAGAGGGUGAUCGGCCACACUGGAACUGAGACACGGUCCAGACUCCUACGGGAGGCAGCAGAAGGGAAUCUUCCGCAAUGGGCGAAAGCCUGACGGAGCAACGCCGCGUGAGUGAUGAAGGUCUUCGGAUCGUAAAACUCUGUUAUCAGGGAAGAACAAAUGUGUAAGUAACUGUGCACAUCUUGACGGUACCUGAUCAGAAAGCCACGGCUAACUACGUG
rnacentral:rRNA from 1 species